GCCCUUGUAGCUCAACUGGUAGAGCAGCGGUUUUGUAAACCGAAGGUCGGCGGUUCGAUUCCGUUCGGGGGCACCA
rnacentral:tRNA from 1 species